GGUCCGGUAGCUCAGUGGUAGUGCGCCUAUAUGUGGUGAAAAUCUCGGUUAUCGAGAUCGAGGUUUUCGAGAUCCUCCCUAAUCCUACUUCCGAUCUCUACUUCGAUAUCUACUUCUAGCCGAUCUCUAGUAACAACUACGAGGAGUUCGCAGGUUCGAAUUCUGCCCGCUUUG